rnacentral:misc_RNA from 1 species
AGUAUGUCCAAUUUCACUGCCUUCAACAAUCCACAUCAAUAGAUAUACAAACUAAUCCAUGUUGCCUCUCAAACUCCCAAAAUCUCAUUAAUCAUUGUCAAACCCAAAUCUACAAUUCUCAAAUCCAUUGCAAACUCUAUAAACAUUUUUCAAGACAAAAUCCACUUGACUUCAAUGCACAUUGGAAAAUUAAGACUCAGAGUGCAGAAACCCA